rnacentral:tRNA from 1 species
GCUGCUAUUGUGUAAUUGGUACACACACUGCUCUUAUAAAGCAGUGUUCGAUCAUCUCGGUUCGACUCCGAGUAGUGGCA